rnacentral:rRNA from 1 species
ACUCCUACGGGAGGCAGCAGUGGGGAAUAUUGCACAAUGGGGGAAACCCUGAUGCAGCCAUGCCGCGUGUGUGAAGAAGGCCUUCGGGUUGUAAAGCACUUUCAGUAGGGAGGAAGGUAGUGUAGUUAACACCUGCACUAUUUGACGUUACCUACAGAAGAAGCACCGGCUAACUCCGUGCCAGCAGCCGCGGUAAUACGGAGGGUGCGAGCGUUAAUCGGAAUUACUGGGCGUAAAGCGCAUGCAGGCGGCCUGUUAAGUCAGAUGUGAAAGCCCGGGGCUUAACCUCGGAAUUGCAUUUGAAACUGGCAGGCUAGAGUCCUUGUAGAGGGGGGUAGAAUUUCAGGUGUAGCGGUGAAAUGCGUAGAGAUCUGAAGGAAUACCAGUGGCGAAGGCGGCCCCCUGGACAAAGACUGACGCUCAGAUGCGAAAGCGUGGGGAGCAAACAGGAUUAGAUACCCUGGUAGCACAGAG